rnacentral:tRNA from 1 species
GGGGCUGUAGCUCAACUGGGAGAGCGCUUGACUGGCAGUCAAGAGGUCGUGGGUUCGAGUCCCAUCAGCUCCA